rnacentral:rRNA from 1 species
UACGGAGGGGGCGAGCGUUAUUCGGAAUUAUUGGGCGUAAAGGGCGCGUAGGCGGCUAGAUGUGUCAAAGGUGAAAUCCCUCGGCUCAACUGAGGAACUGCCUCUGAAACUGUCUGGCUUGAGGCCGGGAGAGGGUAGCGGAAUUCCCAGUGUAGCGGUGAAAUGCGUAGAUAUUGGGAGGAACACCAGUGGCGAAGGCGGCUACCUGGACCGGUUCUGACGCUGAGGCGCGAAAGCGUGGGUAGCAAACAGG